ensembl:snRNA U6 U6 spliceosomal RNA
GUGCUCACACCUGCAGCACAUAUACUAAAAUGAGAAUGCUAGAGAAGCUUAGCCUAGUCCCUGUGCAUGGAUGAUGUACAUGUUUGUGAAGUGUUUCAUAUUUUU